rnacentral:rRNA from 1 species
GCCUUCGGGUUGUAAACUGCUUUUGUACGGAACGAAACGGCGAGCUCUAAUACAGUUUGCUAAUGACGGUACCGUAAGAAUAAGCACCGGCUAACUACGUGCCAGCAGCCGCGGUAAUACGUAGGGUGCGAGCGUUAAUCGGAAUUACUGGGCGUAAAGCGUGCGCAGGCGGUGAUGUAAGACAGAUGUGAAAUCCCCGGGCUCAACCUGGGACCUGCAUUUGUGACUGCAUCGCUGAGUACGGUAGAGGGGGAUGGAAUUCCGCGUGUAGCACUGAAAUGCGUAGAUAUGCGGAGGAACACCGAUGGCGAAGGCAAUCCCCUGGACCUGUACUGACGCUCAUGCACGAAAGCGUGGGGAGCAAACAGGAUUAGAUACCCUGGUAGUCCACGCCCUAAACGAUGUCAACUGGUUGUUGGGUCUUCACUGACUCAGUAACGAAGCUAACGCGUGAAGUUGACCGCCUGGGGAGUACGGCCGCAAGGUUGAAACUCAAGGGAAUUGACGGGGACCCGCACAAGCGGUGGAUGAUGUGGUUUAAUUCGAUGCAACGCGAAAAACCUUACCCACCUUUGACAUGUCCGGAAGUCGCCU